CAUCCUAUUGAAGAAACAACCACUGCAAAUACAACCCAUACCCAACACACUGGAGAAGAACUUUGAAGAACAAUCGUUGUUUACAAACAAAUCUCAGUCACCCCACCUGCUAGAUCUUCAUGCCUCAGUCUCUGCAUGUUUCAGUCUCUCCAGUGGUCCACUUAUUAUGGGAGCGUGACAACACUUCUCUGUAUGCUGUGACCUUGACGUGGUGGAGAACCUUGAGUACCUCUGGAAACUUAUCCCAGUCCAAGCUUUUACUUCAAAAGCAGAUUCAACACACCAGGGUAAUCCCAAGAGGGCAGACAAACCACAAGCUAGUAGCAGCUCUGGAGUAAACAUGCAUGAAUGUCAAUAGAGUGGUGCAGUGUUUUUCAAUUUAUGAGUAAAAUAAAGCCUGGGAUAAAUAUAACUUGACAAUAUUUUGACAUUUUGUUCUACAACAUAAACGGCACACACACUCCGAACUGUCUAGUUAAUUAUAAGAAACAUUAUAAUAUAUAUAUAUAUAUAUAUAUAUAUAUAUAUAUAGUUUAAUCACAAAUUGAAAACCCCAAUAUAAAACCCCAUAAGAGUAAGAGACCAUGAUGAUGGACAGAGGCCGGCUAGGAUGCCGGGGUUACUUCCCUGACUCUUUUUCGAAGGACAUCCUUGGAUUUUUUUUUUUAUGACCACAGAGCGUCAGGACCUCCGUUUAACUUCUCAUUUGAAGGACGGUCCCCAUCACUAUCCUGGGCCGUUAGGACCCACACAGACCAUAAGGUGAGCACCCCCUUCUGGUCUCAGUAAUGCCUCUUCCAGAAGCAACCUAGUUUUUUUCCCAGGAGGUUUCCCAUCCAGUACUGACAGGGCUCAACCCUUUUUAGCUUCAGUGGGUGACCAAGACAGAGCUGCAGCAGUGAUAGCUGCUGGCAAAUGGACAGAUGUAUAUUUUAAUGAAUACAAUAACUUUGUUUUGUAUCAUAUUGUUUCUUACAAUAGUGGUCUUAUCAUCAUUUGUUAAUAACAACAACAACAACAACAACAACAGUGUUCUGUUUGUCUACUUCUCUCUAUGUAUAUAAACACCUGAACAGAUGUCUGACAGGCUAUAUUUUAAUACCCUAUUCUCUGCUCAUAUAACAGUGGCCACAAAAACUACUUGGGACACUUUUGGUCCCAUAAGCCACACUUACAAUCAAUGAAUCAAUGAAUUUCUUUAUAUCUAUUGUUUUGUCACUUGUUUUUUUUUUUUUUUUUUUUUUUCUUAAAUUGUGUUUGUAUUAUUCUCUCUUUAAAAAAAAAAUUACACCACUAUUGUAAAAUAUAAAGACUUACAUUUUUAAGUGUGACAAAAUACUUUUUUUGGCCACUGCACUUGAAUAAAGUUGAGGCAGAAACGUUGCUGGAUUUUAAGCUACCACAAUGUGCAGGACAUGUUCUCUUUUUUGAAAAAGCUGCACUGAGUAUUGCCAGACAAGAUGGCAGGCUUGUAACCCCCUGUACCAAUAAACCAGUCAACGUGGAUUUAGUCAGUUUUCACAGGCGAUAUAGAGCUGCAGGAAACAAAGUUUAGGGAAAAACUGAAGCGGAGGAUAUCAUAUUCUACAGCUUUACAACAACUCAAAAGUUGUAGAUACAUAUGGUCAUUAGUUAUCACAUCUUGAUGAUGUAAAUUUGUACAGUAUUGGUCAUUGCUGUUAAUAGCAGUGCUGGUAAAAACUGUACUAAUGUUGUGCGAAAGUUUAUGAUAACUGCUAAUAAGCAUUAAUUCUAAUGCUGUAUUUGUGUAUUGCCUUUUGUAAAGAUUCUAUUUUAUAUGCCUUUUAUACCAUAUGUCUGUGCACUUAAUUUAAUUAUCUAAGUUCCUUUGUUUUGAUUUGUUGUAUGCUCCAGUGUGACAAAAAUGCAAACAAAAAGUUAGCAAUACAGUGACCACUCCUACCAGUACCAAACAGUGCUGAUAAACAAUAGGUCAACCCUUUAGUUUACCAUCUUUCUAGCUAGUUGGAACAAGAUUUCUUUAAACAGAUCACUUAAAUCAUCAAAAGAAAAGAAAAAAGUCACUUUAAAUUACAUUAUAGAUCUGCUAAAAUUAACUCUUUUAAAAGGAUUUUCAGAUUGUAGUAACUUAUGGUAAACUGAGCAGUCAUUUGUCUUUAGUUACAACACAUAUCUAUGAUCCACUUGUAACAUUCAAUAUGUAAUUUCAAGGUUGAAUUGCAGCACAAAAUCUCUGAUAAAAUGAAAUCACUGUGUUGAGAUUCUGAUGAUUUUUUUGUUUUGUUUACAUUAACCUCUUGUGUUACGUGAUUGAUUUUGAUCUAAUGUACAUUUUGAGAAACAAGGUAAUACAAUAAAAUUUGUCAGUCAUGCAAUGUUGUGCCCAUAAUGUUUGCAGUGUCUUAAUCAGAGCUAAAAAAUAAAAUGUUCAUGGUGAAUCA